UAUCUAUUAACGAACUAAAUGUUGUCACAAGCAAUAUUACAGUUAAAAACAAUUGGCGCGUAUUUUUUGCGGCGUGAGAGCGACUGCAGAAAAGUUUAGCCUGUUGCCUCGUGAAGUGACGUCAGAAUGACGUCACAUUGUCGCGGAAGAUUUGUUGUCACCAGCCAUCUUAGCUCAAACUCACUCUGGACAUAAUAUAUUACAAGCAAGUGAUUGUGCAGCAACUGGAACUGGACAGAUGAUCUGUGAAUUCGAUUGAGGUGGAGAAAACAGUAUUGUGGGAGCGUAUUUGUUUAAAGUACAUAUCACUGACAGAAAGUUACCAAGGCAUAAGGAGAGACUGAGGAUACAGUUGAAGAUCAUCCCUGUGACUUUUCAUUUUAGGACUGAAAAGGCUCCCCAGCAACUCAGCCCAUGUUCUGACUUGUCAUUUAACAAAUAAAUAAAGGUCA
rnacentral:lncRNA from 1 species